GACUUUGGCAGUGGAACUUGACUUGGAGGAGCUCAACUGUGAGACCUCAGACUGCUUCCCUGAGAUGAUCACGUGGCGAAUGUAAUGGUCUCCAUCCUUUAGAUCAUCUUUCAUCAAAAGCACCUCAACAGGAAGCAGCCUCAACUUGCCAGUCACCCUCAGAAGGAAGAAGGAGAAAAGAAGACAAAGAAGAAGAAAAAGAAGAAGAAGAAAAGAAGAAGGAAAAAGAAGAAGAAGAA